rfam:Gossypium arboreum cultivar AKA8401 contig_35725_1, whole genome shotgun sequence.
UGUUAAAAAUUUCAUCAAAUUGUACUAUUAAAAACUAGUGUGACUAACAGAAUAAUCAAAUAGUGAUACAUGACGAGCCACAUAGCAUGAUGUACAAAAAUCAAUUUUUAACAUGAGAAAUGGAAUGAAUUUUUAACA